UGCGUAGGUGGCGCCGUAAGUGGGGUGUGAAAUCCCGGGGCUUAACCCCGGGACUGCAUUCCAUACUGCGGUGCUUGAGGACUGGAGAGGAGACUGGAAUUUACGGUGUAGCAGUGAAAUGCGUAGAGAUCGUAAGGAAGACCAGUGGCGAAGGCGGGUCUCUGGACAGUUCCUGACACUGAGGCACGAAGGCCGAGGGGAAGGCAAACG
rnacentral:rRNA from 1 species